AACGCCGCGUGAGUGAUGAAGGUUUUCGGAUCGUAAAGCUCUGUUGUUAGGGAAGAACAAGUGCCGUUCAAAUAGGGCGGCACCUUGACGGUACCUAACCAGAAAGCCACGGCUAACUACGUGCCAGCAGCCGCGGUAAUACGUAGGUGGCAAGCGUUGUCYGGAAUUAUUGGGCGUAAAGGGCUCGCAGGCGGUUUCUUAAGUCUGAUGUGAAAGCCCCCGGCUCAACCGGGGAGGGUCAUUGGAAACUGGGGAACUUGAGUGCAGAAGAGGAGAGUGGAAUUCCACGUGUAGCGGUGAAAUGCGUAGAGAUGUGGAGGAACACCAGUGGCGAAGGCGACUCUCUGGUCUGUAACUGACGCUGAGGAGMGAAAGCGUGGGGAGCGAACAGGAUUAGAUACCCUGGUAGUCCACGCCGUAAACGAUGAGUGCUAAGUGUUAGGGGGUUUCYGCCCCUUAGUGCUGCAGMUAACGCAUUAAGCACUCYGCCUGGGGAGUACGGUSGCAAGASUGAAACUCAAAGGAAUUGACGGGGGCCCGCACAAGCGGUGGAGCAYGUGGUUUAAUUCGAAGCAACGCGAAGAACCUUACCAGGUCUUGACAUCYUYUGACAAUCCUAGAGAUAGGASGUCCCCYUYGGGGGCAGAGUGACAGGUGGKGCAYGGUUGUCGUCAGCUCGUGUCGUGAGAUGUUGGGKUAAGUCCCGCAAMGAGCGCAACCCYUGAUYUUAGUUGCCAGCAYUCAGUUGGGCACUCUAAGGUGACUGCCGGUGACAAACCGGAGGAAGGUGGGGAUGACGUCAAAUCAUCAUGCCCCUUAUGACCUGGGCUACACACGUGSUACAAUGGNCAGAACAAAGGGCAGCGAAACCGCGAGGUUAAGCCAAUCCCMCMAAUYUGUUYUCAGUUCGGAUCGCAGUCUGCAACUMGAYUGCGUGAAGCUGGAAUCGMUAGUAAUCGCGGAUCAGCAUGCCGCKG
rnacentral:rRNA from 1 species